rnacentral:rRNA from 1 species
CCUACGGGUGGCAGCAGUGAGGAAUAUUGGUCAAUGGGCGUAAGCCUGAACCAGCCAAGUCGCGUGAGGGAUGAAGGUUCUAUGGAUCGUAAACCUCUUUUAUAAGGGAAUAAAGUGCGGGACGUGUCCCGUUUUGUAUGUACCUUAUGAAUAAGGAUCGGCUAACUCCUUGCCAGCAGCCGCGGUAAUACGGAGGAGCCGAGCGUUAUCCGGAUUUAUUGGGUUUAAAGGGUGCUUAGGCGGCAUGUUAAGUCAGCGGUGAAAGGCUGUGGUUCAACCAUAGAAUUGCCGUUGAAACUGGGAGGCUUGAGUGUGUGUGAGGCAGGCGGAAUGCGUGGUGUAGCGGUGAAAUGCAUAGAUAUCACGCAGAACCCCGAUUGCGAAGGCAGCCGGCCAAGCCGUGACUGACGCUGAUGCACGAAAGCGUGGGGAUCAAACAGGAUUAGAUACCCGAGUAGUC